rnacentral:rRNA from 1 species
AGAGUUUGAUCAUGGCUCAGAACGUACGCUGGCGGCACGCCUAACACAUGCAAGUCGAACGAAGUAGCAAUACUUAGUGGCAGACGGGUGAGUAACAUGUAGGUAUCUGCCCUUUGGCCUGGAAUAACACGAGGAAACUUGUGCUAAUACCGGAUAAGUCUUUACGGAGAAAGCUUUAUGCACCAUUGGAUGAGCCUGCACUUGAUUAGUUUGUUGGUGGGGUAAUGGCCUACCAAGACUGUGAUCAAUAGCUGAUUUGAGAGGAUGAUCAGCCACAUUGGGACUGAGACACGGCCCAAACUCCUACGGGAGGCAGCAGUGGGGAAUCUUGCACAAUGGAGGAAACUCUGAUGCAGCGAUGCCGCGUGAGUGAAGAAGGCCCUUGGGUUGUAAAGCUCUUUCGUCGGGGAAGAAAAUGACUGUACCCGAAUAAGAAGGUCCGGCUAACUUCGUGCCAGCAGCCGCGGUAAUACGAAGGGACCUAGCGUAGUUCGGAAUUACUGGGCUUAAAGAGUUCGUAGGUGGUUGAAAAAGUUGGUGGUGAAAUCCCAGAGCUUAACUCUGGAACUGCCAUCAAAACUUUUCAGCUAGAGUAUGAUAGAGGAAAGCAGAAUUUCUAGUGUAGAGGUGAAAUUCGUAGAUAUUAGAAAGAAUACCAAUUGCGAAGGCAGCUUUCUGGAUCAUUACUGACACUGAGGAACGAAAGCAUGGGUAGCGAAGAGGAUUAGAUACCCUCGUAGUCCAUGCCGUAAACGAUGUGUGUUAGACGUUGGAAAUUUAUUUUCAGUGUCGCAGCGAAAGCGAUAAACACACCGCCUGGGGAGUACGACCGCAAGGUUAAAACUCAAAUGAAUUGACGGGGACCCGCACAAGUAGUGGAGCAUG